CAGCAGCCGCGGUAAUACGUAGGUGGCAAGCGUUGUCCGGAGUUAUUGGGCGUAAAGGGCUCGCAGGCGGUUUCUUAAGUCUGAUGUGAAAGCCCCCGGCUCAACCGGGGAGGGUCAUUGGAAACUGGGAAACUUGAGUGCAGAAGAGGAGAGUGGAAUUCCACGUGUAGCGGUGAAAUGCGUAGAGAUGUGGAGGAACACCAGUGGCGAAGGCGACUCUCUGGUCUGUAACUGACGCUGAGGAGCGAAAGCGUGGGGAGCGAACAGGAUUAGAUACCCCCGUAGUCCCUGUCUCUUAUAC
rnacentral:rRNA from 1 species